GUGCUCGCUUCAGCAGCACAUAUACUAAAAUUGGAACCACACAGAGAAAAUUAGCAUGGUCCCUGUGCAAGGAGGACACGCAAAUUCGUGAAAUGUUCAAUAAUUUU
ensembl:snRNA U6 U6 spliceosomal RNA